rnacentral:lncRNA from 1 species
CUGCUUUAUUUAAGCCACUGCUGUUUGGAUUUCCUGUUACAUGCAGGUCAGCUCGGGCCCUAACUGAUCCAUCAUGUUAUCCAUUCCUCUCCUGGCCUCCUGCAUCCCAGGCUGACCUCUCACUCUGAUGCUUGCUCUUGUUGCUGGUCCAAAUCAUAACUUGACAUCUCUUCUUCUCUUCCUCCACAUAAAUCAUUCAAGAUGCCUUCUCUGCCGGAUUCAUUGCAAUGCUCAGCUAAUGGCCAUCCAGAGAAAGUGGUGGUGGCCACCUUUCAAGAGGCAGAGUGACGAUGGGGACAUGGCCAAGAAGCAAGAACUGAGUGACAUCAGCAGAUAAGGAGAGCAGAGAUACCUGAGAGCAUCGUGACACCCCAGGCACUGUGGGAGAUGGAUGGGAGAAGCCAUGGGGGAGUCAGGGGCAGGGAAGGGGGAAUGACAGACUCAAGUCUCAGGAGGGACCUCUCCAGUACUAGGAGCCAGGCACACAGAUCACUAUGACCUCGCUGUACCCACAGGCGGUGAGGUGAAGGAGCAUUCAGAUUACAUAAGGAAUCCUUCAGGUCAAGGUACAUCAAACAAGUCCAAAGAAUGAAGUAGAGAAAAAAGAAAAACAAGACGAUGGGCUCUCAAAGCACGGAGCACAUUUGAGAAGGCUGAGUACAGACAGUGCCCGGACAGAGGCUCAGUUUGGUCAAGGUUGGAUGGGAGAGGGAGGGCGCAGGGGGAAGCCAGGCCCUGGUGUCCACUCAGCCCUCCCCGAGUCAGUGCUGUCCUUGGAGUGGUGGGGAGUUCCAAAACAGUGGAAGCCUUAGAGGUCAGCAACUCUCAUUCCUCUUUUUCAUGGAUAGGAAACUGGGUUUUUCACAAAAGAAAGUAAUUAAAAGUAGCAUUUGGAUAGCUCAUCACACAAGGCCCACAUACACACUAACCCGCAUAAUUCCCACAACAUCCUCAUGAGAUGUGGCUCUCCUUGCUGUAAAAGCAAAUAAAUAAAGGUUCAGCGACA